rnacentral:rRNA from 1 species
UACGUAGGGGGCAAGCGUUAUCCGGAUUUACUGGGUGUAAAGGGAGCGUAGACGGCGGUGCAAGCCAGAUGUGAAAGCCCGCGGCUCAACUGCGGGACUGCUUUUGGAACUAUCUAGCUAGAUUGCAGGAGAGGUAAGUGGAAUUCCUAGUGUAGCGGUGAAAUGCGUAGAUAUUAGGAGGAACACCAGUGGCGAAGGCGGCUUACUGGACUGUAAAUGACGCUGAGGCUCGAAAGCGUGGGGAGCAAACAGG